rnacentral:rRNA from 1 species
GAUGAACGCUGGCGGCGUGCCUAAUACAUGCAAGUCGAGCGAAUGGAUUAAGAGCUUGCUCUUAUGAAGUUAGCGGCGGACGGGUGAGUAACACGUGGGUGAUCUACCUCUGAGUGGGGGAUAACGUUCCGAAAGGAGCGCUAAUACCGCAUGAUGUCCCGGGUUUGAAGACCUGGUGACCAAAGUCGGGGACCGCAAGGCCUGACGCUGGGAGAGGAGCCCGCGCCUGAUUAGCUAGUUGGUGGGGUCAUGGCUCACCAAGGCGACGAUCCGUAACUGGUCUGAGAGGAUGAUCAGUCACACUGGAACUGAGACACGGUCCAGACUCCUACGGGAGGCAGCAGUGGGGAAUAUUGGACAAUGGGCGAAAGCCUGAUCCAGCCAUGCCGCGUGUGUGAAGAAGGUCUUCGGAUUGUAAAGCACUUUAAGUCGGGAGGAAGGACUGUAGGCUAAUACCUUGCAGUUUUGACGUUACCGACAGAAUAAGCACCGGCUAACUUCGUGCCAGCCGCCGCCGUAA